CCCGAGCUCCCGAAUGACAGCCCCUGCACCCUCCACCCCACCUCGCACUCCUCGGCCUCCCGUUCCCAGCGCUGGGAUUUUUUGGCACAGCGGGCCAAAGUCCGGGGGUGGGGGGCAGCCUGCGCUGCCGGAGACCAGCGGCAGGUGCGACCAGGUACUAAGAUGGAAACCUGUACGGAGAAAACUUGUUCUCAGAGGCUUGCUGCGUUAGCCAGAAGUGGACCAAAGCCCUGAGAGUUUGGGAAACGGAGCAGUUUUUGGACAAUGUGAGGCCAAGAUCAAAGGUUAAAGCCGUGCAAAGGAAAUGCAGAACUGAGAGGUGGAAAAGAGAAUCGGAUCCAGCCCCUGACUCCAGACAGCAGACGUGUCAUUGCCAUUUCACAAUUAAAGCGGAAAGGCUUUGUUA